rnacentral:rRNA from 1 species
CCCUUAGAUGUUCUGGGCCGCACGCGUGCUACACUGAGUAAUUCAAUGGGUAAGGGAACGCUAGAGCAUUACCUAAUCUUGAAAUUUGCUCGUGAUGGGGAUCGACGGUUGCAAUUUUCCGUCGUGAACGAGGAAUACCUUGUAGGCGCAUGUCAUCAUCAUGCGCCGAAUACGUCCCUGCCCUUUGUACACACCGCCCGUCGCUCCUACCGAUUGAAUGAUCCGAUGAAUAUCAUGGAUUGAGGAUGCAAGUAGGUUCGCCUAUCUUCAUCUUCGAGAAGUGAAGUAAAUCUUAUCAUUUAGAGGAAGGAGAAGUCGUAACA